CUGCAGGGGUACAGUCUGCGACGUGUGCAGCACGGCCAAAAUGAUCCAGCAAGCGGUUGCUGCAGUUUGCACUCUGUACUCUGUGGCUUAUUCGGGCUAUUUUUUAGCCCACUUGGCACGGCACCUCACGCGUGGAUCCCGAGCAGCUCCUCCUUCAGUGAGUGGGAAAGGAACCUUUGGUGGUCGGAAUUGUGCAGAGAGUUGUGAGCUUGGCGUGUGGCAGUCGAGCGCCAGCCUGGGAGGCUGAAGGAAAGUUCCUGCCAGUGUCUUUGCAGCAGCAGCAGCAGCAAAGGGAUCCCUGGCACUUUUCUCCUUCUCUGCUGAAGAGCUUGUGAAGAGCUGCAGGUCUGGUUUUGCAGGCAGAAGAUUGCUUGCUGGCUUUAGCCACGGUGGAAUAUGGAAUGCCCAGCAAUAAGUGCCAAUGUCGACUUUAGCCCAUUCCUAGUUUGAACAGCUCCGAAUCCCAUUCCUGCUUUAGUGCAGCUGGAUGUGUAGCUGAGGAUAAAUAAGGCAGUAACUGAGAGAGAACUUCCCAUCCCUCACGUUACCAUCUGUCCACAGGGCACAAAAGCAGCAUCAGCUCCUCCUCUGGCUCCCUCUGCUUCCAAAGAGGAGUCCAAAGAGGAGGAAGACAGCAGUGAACUUCCCGCUCUUCUGGGGGAUGAUGGUGAACCUCCCUCUGUCCCGGGAGAUGAGGGCAAACAUCCCACGGUUUGGGAAUACAACGGUGAAGCUCCUGUGGUGUGGGGCGAGGAUGGUGGACAUCACCCGGUGUUGGACGAGGACAGCGAGGCUCCAGCAGCAUGGGACAAGGAGGACGGACAUCUCCCAGCGUGGGACGAGGACAGAGGAUGUGGAGAAUUGGCUACGUGACCGAGGACACGUAGACCCUUUGCAGCUUACAGAGCAUGAUUUAGCAGAAUAUCGCACUCAUCUUGUAUAAUAGCUGAGCUACGUGAGAAAGGAUGCAUAGACCCUCUGCAGCUGACCAAGGCCUUAUGCUGAUACAGCGAGGACAUGCUGGCCUUGGUGAGCAGUACAGUUAACAAUAGACAGCUUAUGGUUGGGGCAUGGGAAAAAGAGGGACUUAGGCAUGGGAAAGAGGAACUUGCUGACCACAAAGGUAGAACUAGAGGGAGGGGUCGGCGGCAGUGCCGUAAACCACUCAGCUUGCGCCUUUUGGAAUAUGCAUAAGCCUCAUUAGUCACACUAUAUCUGUAAUCCACGACUGAUCAAUAAACGGAAGCUUGUUGAUCACUCA